GGCCGAGAUCACAGAGCUCAUCCUGCAGCGGUCUCCCUGAACUGGCCCUGCCCUGUGCACCUCUGCCCUGCCCUUGUCCUCGACCCUCCAUCCUGCUUCAGAGUGGUUUGCCUGCUUUUCCCCUCCAGCCUUGCCCACUCAUCCUUGCCUACACACCCUUGGUCACAAGCCUGACUCAAACAGUGACUUAUGGUGGGCCUGCCUGGCAUGUUCAGGCUGGUUUAACUAUUUCCUUGGCCAGUUGCUUUUUUUGAUGCACUU
rnacentral:lncRNA from 10 species